rnacentral:rRNA from 1 species
UCUCGGCCAAAUUAUCCUCAUAAGUUAGACGACAAGGGGUACCAUUUAUGAUUUUAUUAUUAAGGCCUUAAUUUUAUUUCUUUCCAACUUAAAUGGGUAAAAAAAGAAAUAUUAAUGAAGGAAAUAUCAUAAUUGAUCUUUAAAUGGUGGCACAGAAUCGGAGGCCCCGACUGUUUACUAAAAACACAACACAGUGCAAUCAUUAAUAUGGUAGUAUACUGUGUGAAAUUUGCCCAAUGCCAUUAAUAUAAAAGCGGUCAUAGGUAACUGUGACUAAUUGAAAAUCUGGUUAAUAGCGGUCUUAACCAUGAGGAUCCUAAGGUAGCAAAAUAAAUUGGCCAUUAAAUGUGGUCCGGUAUCAAUAAUGUAACGAUGGCCUCACUGUCUCUACAACUUGCUCAGUGAAAUUGAAUUACGCGUGCAGAUGCGCGUUACCUCCAGUGGGACGGGAAGACCCUAUGCAGCCUUUCUACUGA